rnacentral:rRNA from 1 species
UACGGAGGGGACUAGCGUUGUUCGGAAUUACUGGGCGUAAAGCGCACGUAGGCGGAUUUGUAAGUCAGGGGUGAAAUCCCGGGGCUCAACCUCGGAACUGCCUUUGAUACUGCAAAUCUCGAGUCCGGAAGAGGUGAGUGGAAUUCCUAGUGUAGAGGUGAAAUUCGUAGAUAUUAGGAAGAACACCAGUGGCGAAGGCGGCUCACUGGUCCGGUACUGACGCUGAGGUGCGAAAGCGUGGGGAGUAAACAGG